UUUCACCAUUUUAUUUUUACUUAUUUUAGUUUAUUUAUUUAUUAAAAAAAAAGGUUAAUUUCAUACAGAUUCCUAUAAAUAUAGUGAAUUACAAAUAUAUUCCUGCAAAAUUCAAAUUUCACAUAUUAUCCCUAUAAAGUCUUAGGGCGUGUUUGGUUCCAAGUCGGAAUCGGAAUCGGAAUCGGAAUCGUAAUCAAAAUAAGCUGGAAUCGGAAUCGGAAUGACUCAUUACCUAUAAUUCUGUUUGGUUCAUCACCUGAAUUGGAAUCAGAAUAAAUUAUUCCUAUUGUCUAUAUGAAAAACGUAAUCAAAUUAAUAUACUAACAUUAUCUUUAUAAUAUAUUAAUGUAAAUUCAAAUUAAAAAUUAAAUAUUAAAAGUUUACAUCAAAAUUUUGAAAUAAUGUCCAAAUUUUAAAUCUAUUGUUUAAAAAAAAUUAAACUUUGAAGUUGAGUGGAUAAUUCAAAAUGUGAAACUAAAUUUUGAUUUAUUCAAAUUCAAACUAAAAUUACAAUUUAAAUUUUAAUUUGAAUUCAUAAAUUUAAUUUAAAUUUGAAAUAAAAUUUGAAUAAAACUUUAUAUAAAUUAAAAUUUAAUUUAAAUUCAAAUUCAUAAGUUAGAUUCGAAAUACUUGAUUAAAUUUUAAUUUUUUAAUUUAAGUUUAAAUUAAAAUUUAAAAUUAUAUAUUUAAUUUUAAAAUUUUAACUCAUAUUUUAAUUAAAAAAGUUGAAAAAAUAAAUUUAAUCCGAAUAAAUAUCCAUUCUGUCCGGAUUCAACUUUCAAUCCGACUUCUUAGGCCGGAUUGAAAAAAGAGGUUAUUGGGAGAUUCACGUUCCACUCGGGAAUCGGAAUCAGAAUAGGACUCCCGCGUACCAAACACCUACAAACGGAUUCGCCCAUUCCGAUUCCGAUUCCACGGUGUAAAAGAAGCGAACCAAACACGCCCUUAAUGUUUUCAAAUAUAGUCCUGUUAUUUUAACCCUAGUUAGUUAAUGAGCGAACCAAACACGUCCUUAAUGUUUUCAAAUAUAGUCCUGUUAUUUUAACCCUAGUUAGUUAAUGAGCGAACCAAACACGUCCUUAAUGUUUUCAAAUAUAGUCCUGUUAUUUUAACCCUAGUUAGUUAAUGAGAUGAAUUGAUCUUUUUAUCCUUAUUUAAUUAAGUAUUGUGACUUUUGGAAGGACAUAUUUGUGAUGGCAAAAAAGUCAUUUCACGUAUAAAAUAAACAGUGCUUUAACGGUAACAAAUCGGAGGAAUAUAUUUGAAAAUACUAUGACUUUUGUAGGGUAAUAUAUGAAAGUUGAAACUUGUGGAGAUAUAUUUGCAAUUUGCUAUAUUUGUAGGGACCUGUAUGAAAUUAACCCUUAAAAAAAAAACAUGGCCAAUUUGCAUAAAAAUUCAUAAAUUUUGAGCUUUUGCAAAACUGGGCCGCCUUUUUCGAUUUUACAGAUUCAGUCCGAAUUUUCAGCAAACUGACAAAAAUAUCCUUAUUACUUUUUCUCUCUCAUCCUUUCUCUCUCCUUUUUUUUUUCUCUAGUUAAUUUUUUUUUUCUCUCGCCGAAAAAGGCAAUAGAGGCACAAGCGGAGGCGGAAACGGCCCGUCUCGUCUCUCACCCUCAUGCCCUCGCCCUUGCACGCGCCCGUACCCUAGCCCGCGCCCGUGCCUGCGCACCCCCCACCUUCCUCACCUCCGACUUUGCUGAGACCGCAUCCCUACCUUCCUCACCUCCGACUUUGCUGAGACCGUAUCGCAUCUCUUUUUUUUUUCCCUCUCCGCCAUUCCUUCACCGUCUCCAACAACAAUGCGUUUCUUGCCCUCUCUCGCCUUUCCCCGCCCUUCUCGUCCUCUCCCUUUCCCUCCUCCUUCCCCGUCUCCAACGACGACGCAUAUUCACCGACGCCGUGGAGGUCGCUGCGACACCGCAGCAUCGGAGCGAGGGAUCCUUAGCGGUAUCGUCGCUGGCGCCGCGGUCGCAGGCAGAGAGGGAUGAUUAAAAAAAAAAAAAAAAGAAGAAGAAAAAAUAAAGACAAAGAAUUAUAGGAAAAAAAAAAGAUGAAGAUGAAAUUACGCCGUUAAAAUAAAAUUGCACUAUUUUAAAAGAACGUUGUGCUAUUACGGAUAUAAGUUGCAUUAUUUAAGAUGUAAAUUGCAUCCUUUAAGAUGAAAAUUAUACUCUUUAAAAAAAAAAAAUUACUUUUUGAAAGAUAUUUAUACUAUUUAUCCUCUUAUACAGUAAUCCUGGCAGGAUUACCUGUAAUCCUGGCAGGAUUACCUGUAAUCCUGCUAGGAUAACUCAAACCAAAUGCACUGAUUCGAGUUAUCCUGGCAGGAUUACAGGCAAUCCUGCCAGGAUAACUGUGUUUGGUUAAUCCACUAUGUAAUCUAGUCGUUAAUGUAGCAUUACAAAUCGAGCAGAAUUACAUCGAAAAUAUUAACAGAAGGGGGGUCGUGUAUAUUGCAUUACUGAAAUCCGUUAAUACUACAUAUUAUAUAAAAUGACAAUUUUAUCCUCCAACAACUCCAAACCCAAUUAACAGCAUUGUUUUCAUCUCUCUCUCACGCCCUCCCCGCUCUCUCUCGCACACCGCUCUCUCUUGCUCUCUCUCUCUCGCGCGCGCACGCACACCUAUCAUCUUCUAUUGUAUCGUCCUCCCACAUCACGAUCUCCUUCCCUCCAUUUGCCAUUUCCGCAUACAUUUUUAAUCACUUCUUCAUUAUGUAUAAUGAUAUUAUAUAAAUUGCAUUACUUAAGAUGUAAAUUACUUUUUUUAAGAUGAAAAUUACACUCUUUAAAUAAAAAUUAUACUCUUUGAGAGAUAUUUAUACUAUUUAUCCUCUUAUUGUACUUUUUGAGAAGUAAACUGCAUCUUUAUUGGACAAAAUUAUCUAUUUUUUUUUUAAAAAACCAAAAAUUCAGAUCAUCUAUCCCUCUC
rnacentral:lncRNA from 1 species